UUAUCUAAAACUUUGGUGAAGACAUUGAAAGUAAGUUAUGCUUCUGGGUCGCCCAAAGGAUGAAAUUCAGUGAUGAGCAGCAUGAUCAAACAUGCUUGGUAAAAAACAUCCAUAAUAAGGUCACCCAAGUUCUUACUGAGGUUUUCAGUUCUUUACUUUCCAAUGGGCUUGGGUGUGUCUUUGCGAUCUACAAAGCCCAAACUCACUAUUUAAUGGAAGAAAUCACACAUUAGGGAUAUUCUUUAACUCCUCUUAGAACCGGAAGUAAGGAAGAGCCUGGGAAUUUUUCUUUGCCAUUGAAGCUUGAAGGGAGGGACAAUAAUCCUUGAAGAUUCAUGGCUCAAUCCUCAUCUCUCUUAGAUUGGUUUUCUUUUCCCUUUUUGUGAGUUUUUAAUUUCCUUCUGGUUAGGUUAAGAUAAUCAUUGAUUUGAACAUCUCGUAAUUGAUUUUCCCUUUUACUCUUGUUUCUUUUUAAUUAUGUGAACUAAGUUAUUGAAUUCAUGCUUAAAGUUGUUUCAUUAUUGAAA
rnacentral:lncRNA from 1 species